rnacentral:misc_RNA from 1 species
AACGCACGAGACCUGCGGACCUGCGGAAGGAUCAUUACCGAGUUUACAAAACUCCCAAACCCUUUGUGAACCUUACCUAUCGUUGCUUCGGCGGGACCGCCCCGGCGCCCUCGCGGCCCGGAACCAGGCGCCCGCCGGAGGCCCCAAACCCUCAUGUCUUUAGUGGUUUCCUCCUCUGAGUGACAUAAACAAAUAAAGUAAAAACUUUUAGCAAUGGAUCUCUAGAUCGGAAGAGCACAC